ensembl:lncRNA
AGACAUGAUUAUGCCUGCAUAGGUGAGAUUUACAAUACACGUUGGGCCAUCAUCAUGAUUGUCCAGUAUGUAGGAUGAAUACAUUGUAUGUGCAAAACUCCAGACAAGACCCAAGAGAAUGUGAAGAGCUGAAAGACACCACCCCACACUUUACCUGAUGGUUGUGCCAUUGGUAACAAUCAUUUGUGCAAACCUAGUACUUCAGAGAAAAUAACACAGCCUAAAGAAAAUCAGGCCUUGAGUCAAAUGGAUCUUGACUGUGUUCAGCCUUCCCUGAAAACCAACUUUUUCCUGAGAAUGUGUAUGUAAAGGAAUUUUGAGAAUAUUUGAAGAAUGCAAAUAAUUAUAUUUUCUUAGUGUAGUUAAGAAAAGGAUGUGUGUGUGGGAGGAAGAGUAGACAUGCAGUGACUGCACUAACAAGUAUGGUCCCCCCAGUGUAUAUUUAAUAGGAUAAGGACAGUUUUUUGAAGUUAAUGGCAUAGAGUUACGAUUAAAGUAUAUGUGAUAUGAAGGAUGUAGGAAAGUCCAGAGUUUGUGUGCAAGCUCAUACAAAGAAGACAAGACUGAUUUUAUUAGUGUGGUCAUUUUUGUUUUUAAGAAAGUCCUGAAGGAUUCAUAGUUUAGAAGAUUUGCUUCCAAAGAUGCCAUAAUCUUCUGAAAUAAUACUCUAAAAAUCAAUGUAAAUGUAAAUGUUCAUUUCUAAUAUGAACAAAAUUAAUCAAACAUUUGUUACUAUUUCAUAGAUCCAGACUUUAUUAUAUGCCCUUCAUUUUAGGAAAAUUGAAAGCGUUAAGAACCUGCCCCCUGCUGUGCUGAGUUGGAGUUCUUGGUGCCUGGGUGCAUCCCCAAGGCCACUGGUCUUCAGAUCUUUCUUACUUGAGAAGAACGCCUCCACCUCCGGGCUCUCCCACCAGUGGUACUGCCACCACCACACACCAGCAUAAAGCACAGAUUGCUGCCCAGCUCCUUGGAGAGGGGCCAGUGCAUUUGUCAGGAAUUGAAAAGUUUUGGAGCCAGUUCGAGGACUUUCUGGUACACAAAGUGUUGGCUGGAAGCAUGCACACGUCAGGAUGCUGGAUUUCUUAGCAAACGCUCUCCUUGGAACCACAUUAUCAUGGGUCCGUAUGAUUAUUCCCUUAGGACUAUCCACUUGAGAGUAACGCAAUGGCCUCCACCUCCCAGCCUUUAGGACCUAAAUGAUGGAGUUAAAGAAUCAAACUUUCUUUUGAAAGCCAGUGGCAGUCCCACGUCCACGUCAGGUUUGAGGGGUGCUCUCCUCCCUGACUGGCUAGUAGGUGAGGUCCUUGGUAUGUUCAUCCCUUCUUACCUGAAGCCUCUCCCUCGUUUUAGUUCCGAUUGAUUUCGCCUUCGUUGUGCUCAGAUUUUGUGGGUUUGUUCAAACUGCUCUUGGGAGGAACACAAAAGUAUUAACAUUUUGCCGACUCCAGGACUUUAGAAAACUUAGGCUUGAGUGAAAAACAAACUGACGGAUUCAAAUAAUAUAAACGCACCCAAUUUCAGAUCGUAUUCUCUCUUGCCUUGUCUCACAAUGCUGGGCUGUCUCCCUUUGCAAAACAACUGCAAUCUCUACACGCCACUCCAACCUGCUCCGUGACAAAGCGUAAGGUUCCACCUCUGAGCAGGUAAAAUAUGUUUGUUAGGGAAGGACUGCUCGGCAGUAAGGAUGACAACAAUUAGCACAUGCUACUCAUUAACAAACGGAGAUUAGAACGCAGCCGAAAUGGCAGGCUGCCAUCAGUGUGAUAGUUACGGGGCAGUUUAAUUUCUAACGAAUGUGAGUGCUGGAUCAGUAACAAUAUUCGACAAAAUGCCGCCUGCAUUCUCUUAUGGCUUUCAUUACCAAAUUGAAAAUCUGUGUAGAUUUCUGAAAAUUACUUUUAAAUGUAGCCAAUCUCCUAGACUGCAAGGCUUGAUUUGCUGGUGAGGGAGCCCUGCUGUGAGAUUUUAAUGAAAGAUCAUAGUGGCCC